UACGUAGGGUCCGAGCGUUGUCUGGAAUUACUGGGCGUAAAGAGCUCGUAGGUGGUUUUGUCGCGUUGUUCGUGAAAAACUCACAGCUUAACUGUGGGCGUGCGGGCGAUACGGGCAGACUUGAGUACUGCAGGGGGAGACUGGAAUUCCUGGUGUAGCGGUGGAAUGCGCAGAUAUCAGGAGGAACACCGGUGGCGAAGGGCGGCACUCUGGGGACGGUACU
rnacentral:rRNA from 1 species